rnacentral:rRNA from 2 species
GGACUACCCGGGUAUCUAAUCCUGUUUGCUCCCCACGCUUUCGCACCUCAGUGUCAGUAUUGGUCCAGGAAGCCGCCUUCGCCACUGGUGUUCCUUCCGAUAUCUACGCAUUUCACCGCUACACCGGAAAUUCCACUUCCCUCUACCAUACUCGAGAUACCCAGUAUCAGGUGCAAUUCCCAGGUUAAGCCCAGGACUUUCACAUCUGACUUAAGUAUCCACCUACGUGCGCUUUACGCCCAGUAAUUCUGAUUAACGCUUGCACUCUCUGUAUUACCGCGGCGGCUGGCAC